rnacentral:rRNA from 1 species
UACGUAGGGUGCGAGCGUUGUCCGGAAUUGUUGGGCGUAAAGAGCUUGUAGGCGGUUUGUCGCGUCUGCUGUGAAAAUCCGGGGCUCAACCCCGGACUUGCAGUGGGUACGGGCAGACUAGAGUGUGGUAGGGGAGACUGGAAUUCCUGGUGUAGCGGUGAAAUGUGCAGAUAUCAGGAGGAACACCGAUGGCGAAGGCAGGUCUCUGGGCCACUACUGACGCUGAGAAGCGAAAGCAUGGGGAGCGAACAGGAUUAGAUA